GUGGGUAAACUCUGUUUUCUGGUCUUUUGGUCAGCGGUGGGAAACAUUCAUAGUGAUUUAAGAAAAGAUCAACAGGCUAGAUAAGAAUUUGUUAUCUUCCAGAUGGCAGGUUCCAAAAGCAGAGAAGAGUGCGGCUUCUGUCAGGUGUGGGCCAGGAAUUACCAAGAAAUUUAACUCCGUUCCAAAAAUGUUAACCAUAUUGUUCACGCUCAGCAGCGAGGGGGCCUGUAGCUGCUGCGAGAUUAACCUUCUGACCCCAACAAGAGUUUAGACCAGCCUGUCAAAAGCAUUAUGCUUGAAGGCAGUAAUCAUUCUUUAUUAGAAGAACAGUGGCUUUGCCUUGGUUCCUGCUGCCUACCUAUGGAUCGCGUUUCAGUUGCAGGUCCACCUUUAGGAAAUGGCGUCUAGUUUAAUUAUUAACAACUGUGGAUUCCUAAAGGCUAUGCACAGACACUGCUCCAGGCCGGUCUAAUUCACUCUUAAAAAGCAAAAAGCAGCCCAUUGUGAAAAUGUACUGAUCUGGUCUAACAGCGAUUUUUCCUAGGGCUGCUAAGGAGGUGAUAGUAACCUAUUUCAGAGCAGGUAAAUAUUUUCAAUAAUGGAAUUGGGAAAAGUUUUGAUUUAUAUUUUCAAGCAAACGUAAGAGCUGAGGUUUUAGAAUGGCUGCACAUCUCUGCAUGGCCACUGCUCUUGGAUCAGGCUAUUGAUCUAUCCUGUGGAAGUUGCUGCUCUUAAGAAAGCAGCAGUGAAAUUGUUGCAGCCUUGGUGGUCCGGAGAAGCGCUUUGAGAGAGCAGUAACAGCCCCUACAGCUGUAAAAUGGGAGCAAGCUUUUGGGCCUGGAAGCACUUCAAUGGGAUUGCACAGUCAUCGGCUGAUGCCAGGGCUCAGCUUCCACAGCUUGGUUGAUCUCUGGCUGCACCAUCAUGUCUCCCAAGACAAGUUAUGGUCGUAAUCGUUUUCCAGAAUUGUGGGUUCUUUUUCUUUUUUUUUUCAUCUUUGUUGGCAAAUUCUCAGUAAGAUAAAGUGUGAAGCAACUUAGGGUCUCAUUCAGUAGGCUGAUUCAGUACAGCAGACUCUGUAGAGGUUCAGAUAUUCCCUCAUGACGAUAUCACAGCAUGUAUUUGUCAUAAACAUGUACUGAAUGCUUGGGAACAAGAAAAUAACAAAUACAGGGAAUAGGAUUGUAGUCUUAAAAGCUGAUAUCAAAAUAGAUGAAAAGCAUUUUUAAAACAAAACCCACUCAUUUAAUAAUAUCGUUUUGUAGGGAACCCCCUGCAGAAACUUUAUAGCCAUUGUAGACUACUUACACAGUUUCUGCAAACUUCUGGAUUCUUCCUGCAUCCACUCGCCCAACUUUUAGUUUUUCUGUUCCCACAUGAUGUCUGGGUGCUGAGAGUUGCAUUUGUGAAUGCUGUGGUUGAACACACCUCAUAUUUCUUUUUUAAACUUUUACAACAUGAAGGAGGAAGACGAGGGAUGACAUUUCUACUUCUCAGGAGCUCUGUGGCUGUCCAUAUUAGUAAAGCAAUCUGGAAAGAGCUUGCUGACUACGUACACCUUAGGAGAAGCUAAGCCGAGGUAUUCCUCUGCAUUCCCCUUAUCCUUGUGUUUAUUUUGGUGAGGAUGCUAUCACUUGCUUUUUGCAAUCAAUAGGUGCUGCCAGCAUGGUCAUAAUAGGCCACGUUCAGCUGCAGCCUCCCUUGGGGCUGGUGAGCAUCUCUAUCUUAGGCUUUCAGGACAAAAAGCUGUAGCAAAGCCAUUCAUCUCAGGCACAGGCAUUACACCACAGGGGGAGGUGCCGAGUUUUUAAUGCAUGAAGUCACUGCCAUUCACAGUGAACUAAUGAAAACACUGUCUUUAGCUAUGUUUAAAAUCCCUUGGAUGCCUCUGUGUGUGUGUGCGCGCACAGUGAGGGACAGAUGAAUGAUACUGUGAGGUCUUUGAUACCUUUUUCAAUGAGGCUAAUUGUCUCUGCAUAAUUUUUGGACAAGCCUGCAAUAAUGAUGUUUGGUUGCUGCACAGGAUUAGCAUGUUUAGCAAUAGGAGAAGGAGAAAAAGGGAGAGAUGGCAUCCAGUACCUAGGUGAUGAGCCCGGCUUGGUGACAUGCAUCUGAAUGAGACAUGCCUAUUUAGCCCUAGCGUCAUUUUUCUAGCUAAUCAUGGAAUGUGCAUGACAUUUGUUAUUACUGUCAUUAUAACCCAUCCAUUCACGCUACUAGAUCUGCUAAGCUCUUCCCACAGAAAGUAAUGUGUAACCUAAAGGCAAGCAGGACUGAAUCUCACUGAGUUCUCAACAUCUUCAUUUUUGGGAGCUGGGUAACUGAAGCAGAAAUCUUCCUAAUUCCAUUUUGAUAGGGACACAUGGGCAAACUUAAGGUUAUGUGCCUUAUAUUCACUUUCUAUUUCCACAUCAUAAGGUUGUGUUAUGAGUAUCUUUGAAUUUCUUGGCUUUCUAGCUUGUAUUUUUUGUUUCAUUUGUUACAAAGAACACUAUGUAAUUCAGUUUUCAUUCCCAUCAGAAGAACUGUGUGAUCAUCAAAUCACCUUCCUUAAGGCAGGUGAACUAGGAGACUGAGGGGGGCCCCCUGGCCCUGAAAUUAAAACGAGUUCUUCCUGUCUGCAUGCACUGGAUUAUUGUCCCAGUUCUGUCACCGACAGUGAUGUAUGACCAAAAUACUUGUCCUUUUAUGUAUUUAUUUUGCCCUGGUUAAAAACAUCAUAAUGAUUCUUGACUUGUGUGCCUUACAGAUGUACUACAGGAAAUGUCUGAGAUCGUUUGACAAAGUCCUGGUACCAAAAGCUGUGUAUACUAAGAAACACGAAGCAAAACAUUAGACACUUAACUCAGUGAUGUCUUUAUACAUUUUCCAUCACCCUAUAUAUCUGUGAACAACGAGGCCAAAAUGUACUAGGACAGGAUGUCAGUACUGAAGUACUGUGCAGUCUGCAAAUAGAUAUGAAAUUAGGGUGCUUUCAGUUCUCAGUCAGAACUUCUCCAUCCUAAUUGGAGUUAGAUAUUGGUUUGCUAUUACACAACAGAAGUGCAUUGUAAAUAAUGUUUUGAAUACCGCAAAUUUUCCUUUUCCUUUUUCUGUUUUGUUUUGUUUUGUAUCCUUCAAAAUGCUUCUACCAAUCCCUUGUUCAGAACAGAAAGUGGUCUUGCAGACCAGGCACGUUACCGUUGUUUCUCAAUCAAUCUGGGAUGUUGUGAGUUGUCUGAUGCUGAGAUUUUCCAUAAACCCAAGGUGCUGGUAAGGAUUUGGUUAGUCCCUGCAGUCCCUGAUAUGCUCUGAUAUUUUACGAAACUGAAUUUAGACAGCCAUGUAAUAAAUGGAUUUUAGAUGUAACAGCAGCAUUGCUCUCUUUUUGAAGCUAGUGGCAAACCUCCAGUUCCCCACCCAGUAUUCAAUGCCUGAAGAACUCAGCAAAGCUUCAGAGAUGGAAAAAAUGUAUUUUUACUAUUUACGCAGCGUUAGGUCUACAUCAAGUCAUGGUUCUUGGGAGCUGAAGCCUCUAAUCAAUAUGAAAGCCAAAUCUCUUGAGGGCACAGUGCUCAGAGGCACAGAGGCCCAGGUGGGAACAUAUGGGUGAAGGUGAACAAGGCAGGUACAGCUUCUGCCAGGGCCAUCGCAGGGCAAUGAUGGCAGGUGGGACAGCACUGGAAAUAUGGCCGGGAUGGUGCAGGCUGGAGUCAGCCAUAGUGGGAGUCACGCAGCCCAUCCUUUGAAGUCAGGGAACAGUUUCCAAGUGCCAUUUGUGCCCCUGGCUUAGUUUGCAUACAUGGCAUUACAUCACCCAACAAAGCGGCCUUCAGUCAGGCCCCACACAAUGGUGAGGGGUUGGCGGUGCUCCAUGGGGGGUUAAUAGUUGCCCUGGGAACGCCACAUUCCAGCAUCAGCUGCUAAUGUGCAAAGCAUGCUGUUCAGGGCUGGCCAGGAGCAGAGCAUGGGAAAAUUCUUGCAUACUUUAUGAGACAGAAACAAACCUACUUUCAACAGAACAACAGCAACGCGUAAUCCCCCCCACCUCACCCACCCCUCUGCUACCGAAACGCUGCGGACCUUUGUGUGAGGGCUAGGAGGUUUGUGCUUCAGGGUGUUUUGCCAAUAAAAACAAAACAAAACAACAACAACAACAAAAAAAAAAACAGGUUCCAAUCCAAGACUGAAUUUUCCACGUCUUGGGAGAGGAAUGAGCUUAGUGUUGAGCGUCUUAAGCGUAAUUUCACAGUGUAUCCAUACAGCCUUGGCCAGGCCAACGUAUGGGAGUUUAACACCUGAACAAGAGGAGCGCCAGCUGACCUGGCAUCAUGAAGAAGCUGUUUCUCUCCUUCAGUCCUUUCUCUCCUCUUCUGCACUGCCAGCUCAAUGCUCUGAAAAGCAGCACUGCAACAUCGCAUAGUUGCCCCCAGAGCCCCUUCAUGGCAAGGUGCUAUUUCUGCAUGCAACCACUUCUUUUUUUGCGGGAAAAAAGCAAGACCAAAGAAGGCAAAAUGGCAUUGAAGACAGCUUCUGACUGCAAAGUUUAGUAAGUGUGUAUGCAUCUGUGUGUGCAUGCAUAGGAUUCUCAGUCUGUCCCCUCACACAGGCAGAGCUGGCUUCAGCGCAGGCAAAUCUGGAGCACUGAAGUACUACAACCCUCCCUUUUUUGUCUCAGAUAGCAUCCUUAGGAAAAGAUAAUGGGCAGAGUUUGUGCACCUGGUUUGCAGUUGGGGCUGCAAGUGGAGCCUGAUGCUGGCAGUGCUGCAUCUCCGUGCCCCUGGAUGCGGCUGCUGGAAAUGUAUUUGGUGACAGGCCUUCGCCUGCUGGUAAUCCAGUGGAUACUGUGUGUUACUAGAAUGGGAGCACAUGGCAAACUCUUAAAAGGAACAUUGGUUUCAAAUCUCCCAAUCCCAUCUGUGCGAUGGUGGUGCUACAGCUGCAUGCUAUAAAAGCUGCAUGCUGUAAAAAAGACUCUUUUAACUAAAGACUUGAGAGAAGAUUUGCUUUUGUCUCCCCAGCUUGUUUACUCUGUAAAUGUGAUGUUAUGCAUUGUCAGUUCAGCUAUUUCCCCCCCUGCAGUCUUGUUCUGGAGAUGCUUUAUAUCUUGCUUUCACACAGCAUCUGAGGAGAGAAGCUGCUGUGCCGUAUGCCUGUCAAACUCCUACAGUAAAUUAGCAGGCCAGUUCGUAGAUAGAGCACUCAGUGCUACUUUAAACUUACUCUUUUAAUUCCUGUAGCAAGAGGAUGCAAUAUUUUUGAUCUAACAAGAGCUCUGAAGCUGGAUUUACAUUACCAAACUGUGGCCUGGAUUCUUCCUGGGUCUCUGGAUAACCUGAGACACAGCUCUAGCUGCCUUCCCCAGGAAGGAAUCAUUCCUGAGCUGUAAGAGCCCAGCCCUGGCUAUGUGCAGUGGUACACAGAUGUUCUACAACAUGCCUGGAAGCAGGCCAGCAAUAUUCGCACAUCACUGGAUUUAACAGUUUCAGAUGUCUCCACAUCACGUUCCCCAUCAUGUCCGAAUCUGUUCCCAUGGGAAGGCAGACACCCCAGACAGAAAGGCCAGGCAGGAUGGAAGGAAAGCCUGUCAUCUGGAACCUUCCUCCCCCAGGCACCUGCAGUGCCCCAAGGACAAGGUCUCAAGGACUGUUCCUCUUCGAGCACAGGCAGAGAGCAGUCUCCAGCUGCCAGUUCUGCUCUCCAUCUCCUUCAGGUAUCUCCGCACCACCAGCUAAGCCACAAUCAGCAAAAAUAUGGUGUCUGUCAAACAAUCAACAUAUGUUUGUAUGAAGCAAAUGGAUUGUCUGGGGAUAUCUGUGUGAAUAUUACAAAAUCUGCUCCUAAACUGAAAAAGAGGGAAACAUACUGAAGAACAUGUUUUCUCCACAAAACAGCUUUCUGACGAGCACUGUUCCCCAGUGAUUGUGACGGCCCACAAGAACUUUCAGCUGUUGGUCCUUCAGGUCACCAUGAGCUUUUUGUCUGUCCGUGGCUGUGAGAACAGCUCCUGCUAUUUGGAAUUGACCAACCUGUGCAGCCUACCCCGGGGCUGAGCUGCUGGCUGCAGCAGAGGAUGGGUUUGUGCUGCAAGGAGCAGUGCUCAGCGGAAGCCCAUCUGGUGCAAGGUUUUCAAGCUGCUUUGCUCAGCCACUUGAGUGUGCCACUCCAUUCCCAGCACUUCUCUGCAUGGAGAGACUGGGCUGGGCAUUGCAGAGAUGUUUUCUUCAUGAGAAGGACUUUCCCGAGACACUGCAGCUGGUGGAAGGGCUGAGUAAAGGUGGUAAUGCCACUAGUUCUGGGAGACGUAUUGCUUCACUCUGUCAGUGAGUGUAAAUCCACCACUGCUAUGAACAUUGCACAAGCACAUCCCUUCUUGGAAAAUAAAAGUCCGUCUUUAUCUCA
ensembl:lncRNA